rnacentral:rRNA from 1 species
CAGUAGCCGCGGGAAUACAGAGGAUGCAAGCGUUAUCCGGAAUGAUUGGGCGUAAAGCGCACGUAGGCGGAUCCUUAAGUCAGAGGUGAAAUCCCAAGGCUCAACCUUGGAACUGCCUUUGAUACUGGGGAUCUCGAGUUCGGGAGAGGCGAGUGGAACUGCGAGUGUAGAGGUGAAAUUCGUAGAUAUUCGCAAGAACACCAGUGGCGAUGGCGGCUCACUGGCCCGAUACUGACGCUGAGGUGCGAAAGCGUGGGGAGCAAACAGGAUUAGAUACCCCAGUAGUCCCUGUCUCUUAUAC